rnacentral:tRNA from 1 species
UGGCAUAGUGGUUAAAGUACUUGCCUGUUAACCAAUGAGCUGGUGGUUCAAACCCACC